GACCUCGCGUGCUCAAGUCUCCGCCAUUCGCCUCUUCAAAAUCCCGUUCGAUUCCAGUCUCUUCGUGCGAAAUCCUCGCCUCCGAUCCGCAGAGAGAGCGGCAUUUUCUGCGUCCUCUUCAUCUUGCGGUCGUCUCCGAUCGAGAUGUUGUUGUCGGAGAACGGCGCAGGGAAGCUUGUGGUAAGGUUGGAGCGGGAAUCCGCCAUUCCGCUGCUCAAGCCUAAGCUCAUCAUGAAGCUCCCGGUCUCAUAGGUUUGGUUUCUGCGAUUUGGCUGUGUUUCCGAGAAAGCUUCCUUGUUUCUCCUCGCUAUUCACUAGUUUAAAUGGAAAACAGAAACCUGGAUUUUAUGGAUGCGAAUUGGGGAAGAUUCUUCAUCAAAGACACCGGAACUUUUGCCUUUAUUCAAGUUCAGAGCAUUCAACUGACCAACCUGAUUUUGUCAAGCUUUGCAAGAGAGUUGAAUACACUAUUGGCGCAUGCUAAUGGAAAAGAACAAUUUCCAACUAGUUACUGAUGAGGAGAUUGUGGUUGCACAAUCUGGGCAGUAUCCCUUAAACCUUCCUGUCAAAGUGGAUGAAUCAAAGGUUCAAAAGAUGAUCCAUCAGCAUAUACUUGUUUUUCAUAUUACCUUGAUAAAUUUCCUGGGUUGCAACUAGACAACAAGCGUUUACCAAGUUUGGUAUAGGCACGCAGCUUGUCAUCUAGACGUGAUGAUUAAAUUGGAGAGCUGAGGCGAUGCUGAUCUCAAGAGGGCAUCAUCCUGAACCAACUGGAAAGUCUGAAAUCAGUGCUUCUUUCUUCACUAAUGAGGACACGAGGACAAAAGCACUGAUUGCCUAUGACAAUAAUGUUGACCAAUGGAUGGCGGGGGCGCUAUGCCACUUAUUAGUGGAUUAUGCCAAAUUGCAUUAAUGUCCAUGUUCAACCUUAUUCAGACACUACAAUGCAUUAGCAUUUGUAUGGUCAUCCUCAAACUGCAGAUUCCUUUCUUUUUGACUAAUUCUUUCCGCGUUCUACUAGAACACGGUUCUUGAAUUUGAUUUUGAUCGAAUCACGUCUCAAUAUUGAUCUUUUAUCAGAUUAUUUUUCUUGUAUAAAAUAUUUUUGUAUUAUCUUUGAUUUUCAAGUUCUCUAAAAAAAACUUCCAAAUGCAAGUUAUGGCAUGAUUUUAAAACAACAAUAGAAUGACCAAUAAAUUUGUAUAGUGAAACACAUUCUACGAAGUUAUUCUUCUGCAAUGGCUUUCACGAUGACUUGGCAUUAUCGCAUACCUUUUAGUUCUCACGGUCAAUAACAGUGUUGAAUAUUUCAUUGAUUUUUUUUUUCUGUUUUAGAAAAAGAAGAUGCUCCAAUAUCCAUUUAAAUUCACAACAAUUUGCAAAGCUUUUGCCACCACUCCUUUGUUGUA